GAGAAACAGAGAAAGCAAAGGAGAGAAAGAGAGAGAGAGAGAGAGAGAGAGAGUGAUAUCUUGUGACCUGUAGCGUGCCAAAGGCCCGAAGAUUCUGCCUUCGCAGCAGCUCGGCGCUGCGGUCGCUCCAUGGCCGGGCGCCACCGGCCUCCUCGCCUCCGUCACCGCUGACGAUAUGGCACACAAAGGUCACAGCGGAGUGAACCAAUUGGGUGGUGUCUUCGUCGGUGGUAGACCGCUUCCUGAUUCGACGAGGCAAAAGAUCGUCGAAUUAGCUCAUUCCGGGGCACGUCCUUGCGACAUCUCAAGGAUCCUGCAGGUCAGCAAUGGCUGCGUUUCAAAGAUCCUUGGCAGCAGGUACUAUGAGACCGGAUCUAUAAGGCCAAGGGCCAUUGGCGGCAGUAAGCCGCGAGUGGCCACGGCGGAAGUCGUCAGCAAGAUUUCACUUUAUAAAAGUGAGUGCCCGUCGAUCUUUGCUUGGGAGAUCAGAGAUCGUUUACUUCAAGAGGGCGUGUGCACGAACGACAACAUUCCAAGCGUUUCGUCCAUCAACAGGGUAUUGAGGAACUUGGCGGCACAGAAGGAACAAAGACAGCAACAGCAACAACAGCAACAGGGUGUAGGGGCAGUUGGCGUUGGCGUCGGCGUAGGUGUUGGCGCUGGUAGUCCUGCUGAGAGCGUUUACGACAAGCUCAGGCUACUGAACGGACAGACCACUGGCUGGCCAAGACCCAAUCCCUGGUAUCCGUCGGGUGCGGGAAGCCCUUUCUCGAGUCUUCAGCCUAGUCUAAGUCCGAGCCAUUGCACGGCGCUACCGCCUGAUCCCGCUGAUAUUCUCCACGCCAAAAAGGUGGCUGAACUCGAAGGAGGCGCUCAUUCUGACGAGACCAACAGCGGCGGUGACAACAGUAACGCCGGCAGUGUAUCUGGUGGUGCAGACGAUGAUCAAGCACGUUUACGACUUAAGAGAAAGCUUCAGAGGAAUCGUACGAGCUUCAGCAACGAGCAAAUCGAUGCUCUUGAAAAGGAAUUUGAGAGAACGCAUUAUCCGGAUGUAUUUGCAAGAGAACGACUCGCUGGGAAGAUUGGCCUACCGGAAGCUCGAAUACAGGUAUGGUUUUCGAAUCGGCGGGCAAAGUGGAGACGAGAGGAGAAGUUGCGUACGCAACGGAGGGACAACCCGCAGCAGCAGCAACAACAGCAACAACAGCAGCAACAACAACAGCAACAACAACAACAGCAACAACAACAGCAACAGUCACAGGCUCAACAGCAACAGCAACAAUCUCAUACGGGAGGUGUUAGUCUCGUGGGUGCUGGUCAUCCUACGCCACCUCCACCGACUGGUAUUCUUGGUGGACAGGCACCACCACAGGCACCACCGUCGCCACCCAGAAUACAUCAUGGAUUUGCACCAACCGCUGUUUAUCCAGGAAUACCUAGCAUGCCGGACUCUUACAGUCCCAUGACAUCAAUGCCAAGUUUCACGAUGUCAGGUGGCAGCCAACAGAAUCAACAUACGACCAGCAGCAUGUCUUCACUGUCAGGGUCUCUUUCGGGUUCGUUAUCAGGCUCGCUAUCGGGAGGUGGCAUGGGUCCAAUGGGUAUGACGGUUGGCAUGACUGUUGGCCCUAGUCCUGGCGCGUGCCUUCAACAACGUGACAAUGGUUACUCUUGUGGCGUGGCACGACCACCAAGUUACGAGCCGCUUCAUUUGGGAUACGGUGCGAGGCCAACCUGCAGUCCGACCCAGCCUUACCACACCGCGGGCCUUAAUCAGUACAAUCAGAACGCCAGCUCGACCGGUGAGUGUCUACCGCACUCACUGCACUCGCUGCUUGCGCUUUAGCCGAUGGACUACUACUAUGGCUACCACGGAUAACACGCUAUCGAGCCUGCCGGUCUGAUAUCACCGGGCGUGAGCGUACCGAUCGCAGUGCCAGGCCAACCAGCACCAGACAUGGCGGCGCAAUAUUGGUCACCAAGGCUACAGUGACCGUGGUGGUCCUCGACGUCGACCUCGUCCUCCUAGGCACGAGUUUCUUCGUCCUCGAUCAGAACCAGAAUAUAAUCGUCGUCGGUUUUAGGACCACCAAGAAAUUUAAUAGAAAGGAAAGAAGGAAAGAAACAAAAGGAAAGGAAAGGAAAGGAAAGAAAAAAGAAAAGAAAGAACAAAUGAACGAAAGGAUUUUAAAUCGAUUUUCUUAUCGAACACGAUGAGAAGGGACAAGUGUGCGAAGAAUUCGAGUUUUUUAAACGUCGAGCGCCUUUUCUUCUUCUUUUUCUUUUUUUUUUCUUUUUCUUUCUUGUUUCUUUUACGCUUCUUUUUUUUUUUGUUUUGUUGUUGUUGUUUUUUUCCUCUUUUUUUUUUUCUUUUCUUUUAGAUUCGACGACGACAAUGAUAAUACGACGAUUCAACAGAGAAGUGAUAAUCGAAAACGAUAUCCUCAAGGUCGUUGUGUCGUCAUGAAAAAGGAAAAGAAAAAAAAAAGAAAGAAAUAGGAAAAUGCAAGCACCACCGAUCAAUAAUAUUGUAAUUUUGAUUCAACGAAAUAUCAAAGAAAACUUUCCUUCGGUAGUUAAUCGUAAUCGGUAAAAAGAGAAUUCGACGUUUUCGAAUAAACUAAAUUAUAAACUAGCAUACUAUAGUGCAUUCAAUAUAUUAAACAAGAUCGCCUUUUCGGUAUGCUUUAUGUUGUAAUUAAAAAUCAUAAUUUAACAUUCACUUAGAAUUACAUUACUAUGUGAAAUAUAAACUGUAGUAUUUUUUUAAGUACUAUGUGAUAUAUAUAUGAACUAUAGUAUUUGAGAAAUACUAUAAGCAGUAGUAUUUUUUUAAGUACAAUGUUAAUUACAAAUCUAAGAAAGUUACAAAUUUAAGAAAUAGUAUGUGAAACACGAGCUGUAGUAUUUUUUGUUUUUUUUUUUUGUUUUUUUUUUCGUUUUUUUUUUUUUUAAGUAUUAUAUGAAAUAUAAACUAUAGUAUUUGAGAAAUACUAUGUUGAUAUAUAAACUGUAGUAUUUUUUCUUUUUUUAAAUACUAUGUGAAAUAUAAAAUAUAGUAUUUUAUAAGUACUAUAAUUUAAUUAGUACUCUAGUACUAUAAUUUAAUAAAUUAAACAUUAUAUAUGUCUGUAUUAUAUAAAUUAUAAAUCAUAGUUUAUGUAAUGCAGACCAUACAUAUGUCAUAUCAUACAUAAAUGAAAACGUCAUGUAUUAAGUCGAGUCCUUUAUCAUUCCGUCGUCGAAAACUCACCACCGGCUGCGAAUUUUACUCUCGGAUAACACAUACAUUAUUACAAUAAUGAACUUCAGUGGUUUUUGUAUUUUCUUUCUUGUUUUAUUUUUAAGUUUUUUAUUAUUUUGUUUUUGUUUUUCCUCCCCGCGGAACGUGUAAUUUCUAUCUUCUGGAUGUACGUGCGAUAGUUAAAAGUUGUAAUAUUACGCCCGAGUGGCGUCAGUUGGUACAAACCAGAGGUUAAUUAUUGAAAAAGAAAAAAAAUUAUAAAUAUAUAUAUAUAUAUACAUAUAUAUACACACACACACACAUAUAUAUAUAUAUAUAUGUAUAUAUAUAUAUAUAAAUAUAUAAAUAUAUAAAUAUAUCAUAGCGAUGACAAUUGAUAAUUAUGUUUACUACGUAGUAGUUGAUAAAAGAAAAAGAAAAAAAAAAAAAAAGAAAAAAGAAUAAAAGGAAAACUAGGACGAGGAAGGAAAAAAGGAAAAAAAAUCAGCUGAGCUUAAACACAUUUUUGUGUGUCUGUUCUACGUGUGUGUUCUUCUUUUUCUUUUUAUCGUUGUACGUUGUCACACUGUAAGAGAUACGAACUAUGCGAACCACAUAUACAUAUACAUAUACAUAACACCACUUUCGUCGGAAAUAAAUUCAGAAAUAGAGCGAGAUACGCCAUAACGAUAUGCCAUAACUGGAUAACGCCAUAACGUGCUAUAUCGUUUAAUCUUACGCGAACUUUACAAACACUUUUUGCUUGUAUACUCUAUUACUACUACUACUACUACUACUACUACUACUACUACUACUACUACUACUACUAUUACUACUACUACUUGCUACUUAUAUUACAUGCAUACAUACAUACAUACAUACAAACCAUACACACAUACGUACACAUAUUCACCAUAACAUUGAGUGACAUACGCUUAUCUCGGGCUAAAUAUUUGACAGACGAUCGUUGCUUCUAUUUUAAACUGCCUUUUACGUGUUCAUAAAUAGGAGAAAAAAAAAAAAAGAAAAGGAGAAAAAAAAAGAAACAAAAAAAAAAACAGAAAGAAAAAAAGAGGAAACAGAACACGAAAUCGGCUCUCAUACCCGAUAACGAAAAAAAUACGCACAGAACUAUUGUAAAGGAAACACAAAAAAGAGAACAAAAAAAAAGAUAAAGAUAAAACAUCCUUUACUCACAUAUAAAUCGUGAUAGAGAAAGGGAGAGUUACGCGAGAGAAAGAAAGAGAAAAGGGCAAUGUAGUCAGACCUAUCGAGUAUCGACAAUGUGUAUUGUGCAAACACUUCUUUGUAAAGUAAUUUAAUAAAGAGAAUAUGCGAACGAGCGAGUUAAAGAGAGAGAGAGAGAGAGAGAGAGAGAGUGAGAGAGAGAGAGAGAGAUGUAAAUCGAUCGAAGAAAUUUCAACGUGGCAAAAUGAUGUGAUCUUUUAUAAGAUAUUUUCGUCAUCGCGUCUCGUAAAUUACUUUAUUACGCGGAUAAAAUUGUUAGGCGAGAUAAACGAAGGAAGCAAGAAAGAAAAAAAAGAAAAAAAGGAAAAAAUAAAGAAAGAAAAAAGAAAAAGAAAAAAGUAAUAGAAAAGAGAACGAGAACGAAAACAUGAAAAAAGAAAAAAAGAGAAAAGUAAACAUUAUAAAGACACAGGAAAAUAAAGUAAUAGUUUCUAAGUCGACACAUUACCGCUAUUAUUUAUAUUCAUGUAAUGAAUGAGAGAAGCCAGAAAUGACGACGAUAACGACGAUGACGACAACGAUAAUGACGAUAAUGACAAUGAUGACGACGACGACGACGCCAAUGAUGACGAUGACGACAAUGACGACUAUGAUGACGACGACGAUGAACGUUUAUGUACGUGUACACAAUGUAAGAAUAUCGGUCAGUCAUUUAUAUACAUAUAUACAUAUAUACAUAUAGUUGAAUCCUAAUUCUAGAAGCGAUAAUUGAUAAUGUCGAUUCGUAAUUUAUAUUCCGGUGCAAGAUCGAACGAGUAAACAAAAUGAAUGAAAAAAAAUUAUAUAUAUAUAUAUAUAUUAAUAAUAAUAAUAAUAAUAAUAAUAAUAAUAAUAAUUAAUAAUAAUUAAUAAUAAUAAUAAUAAUAAUAAUAAUAAAUAAUAAUAAUAAUAAUAAUAAGUAAUAAUAAUGAUAAUAAUAAUAAUAAUAAGUAAUAAUAAUAAUAGUAAUAAUAAUAAUGGUAAAGAAAGAAAAAAAAAUGUGAAAAACCGAGCGAAUGUGAUUCCCUUAGGUCAGGUAUGUUAAACGUACGAUUAUGCAUUCUAAAUAAAUAGUGUGUGCAUUUAA